rnacentral:tRNA from 1 species
AUUAUCUUGGCAGAGGUUAAUGCAGUAAAUUUAGAAUUUAUUUAUGUAAUUAUUAUUACAGAUAAUA